rnacentral:misc_RNA from 1 species
AAAACUGACCCGACCACUAGGACCUAUAAACAAUAACUUGCUAAUAGGCUGAAAGGAGACAAGCACAGUAAACUUAGUUACAAAGGCUCAUAAAUAAUUACAAUAGCCCUAUUAUUAGCUGUUUUCCGUACACUGCAACAAGGGAAAAAACAACCAAUUCGAAAAGGAGUAAGAUACAAGGGAAACCUGCAUAAAACCUUCCAAAUCCCAACUUUUCAUUCGUCUCCUUUUGUGGAAUCUGCUGUCUUGGUUUCAUUAUUAUGUACAACCUGAGCAGGCAAAUCAUCCUUAGUG